UUCUUCCUUCUCUUCUUUCAAUGUGGUUGUGUUUGAAUCAUUUUAUAUGGGUAAAAUGGCUCAAUUGAUCCUUGUACUAUGUCCAUUUUGUAAUGUGGAUACUCCUGCUCACACGUUUGUCAUCUGGACUCUUGAACCCACUAAAAAACAAUAUUUUAAAUCCUUUGACCGUUGAUCAGACCUAUGUGGCAUUAAGAUGGCUGAGUAGGACGAAAUACGUGUAGGCACGCCUGGGGUACGAGUGAGGAUAAUUUUUUGAUCAAUUUUAUAUUAAAAUAAUUUUAAAAAUAUGUAUAUUUUUUUAAAUGUUCCCCCCCCCCCUCCCACCCCUGUAGCCCACAAGGCUGCCAUGGCCAUUAGAGCCAUUAGCACCACCAUUAAUGCCCUCACCCCCACCCCUGCAACGUCCAAGGCUGCCAUGACAGUCGCAACACCACCAUGAACGCCCCAACCCCACCAGCACCACUACAGUGCCCCCUCCCCCAGUAACGUCGGCCAUCACCAUUAAAAUCCUCUAUAACCUUCACUCCUCAACAUAGAUCUUGCCAUUUUUAGACAUGAAAUUUGACCGCUCAUAACUUGCUGCCUAGUUUUCAACACUACAAUUGGGUAAAGUGCACCCGAAACACUCGAAAAAAGCGCAGCUUUUAAGAAAAAAAACUUAGAUUUGUCAAACAUCUCCCAAUGUAUAUCUGCUGAAAGAUAAUUUUUGAAGCUGAAUCCUCCUCCACCACACUCAUUUUCCACCACUUCCCAAAUCCUUCAAAUUUUCAAAAUCAGCCAAAAAUUGCUUCUUUAGUCUUUAUCUCAAACCAACAAACCCAAUUUCUACAAGAAAGAAACCACAAACAAAUUCUCUAUGAUCCAAUAGUUAAGAAGAGAUCAAGAAAACAACAGAAAAACAAAAUUAUAGAUGGGUUGUUGUCACACCAGUAACGGUGGUGCGGCGGUGGAGAUAGAGAAGAGAGAGUGGAGAGAUGGAGAAGAGAGAGCCGAUUGCCACUAUCAUUUUAAUUUUUAUUUUUUAAUUCUCAAUUUAAAAUUUUCAUUUUUUUAAUAUUUAAUUUUUUAUGUAGCAAUUUAAAAAUGAUGUGAAAUUUAAUGUAGUAUUUAAAAUGACGUGAAAGCUGACGUGGGUUGAGUGUGUUACGUUCACCAAAAAAGUGUUUAAACUAUUGUUUGUAGAGGGUUCAAGGGUCCAGAUGACAAACAUGCGAGUAGGAGUAUCCACAUUACAAAAUAAACAUAGUAUAAAGGUUCAUCGAGCCAUUUUGUCUUUUACAUGUAUCCCGACUAUUCAAUAGCAUAAAUAUCCGAUUACAUUA
rnacentral:lncRNA from 1 species